rnacentral:rRNA from 1 species
CUACGGGGCGCUCCAGUGGGGAAUUUUGCGCAAUGGGUGACCCCCUUCCGCAUCACUACCGCGUGAGUGAAGAAGGCCUUUGGGUCGUAAAGCUCUUUUCUUGGGGAAGAUAGUGACGGUACCCAAGGAAUAAGCACCGGCUAACUCCGUGCCAGCAGCCGCGGUAAUACGGAGGGUGCAAGCGUUGUUCGGAUUUACUGGGCGUAAAGGGCACGUAGGCGGCACAGCAAGUUAAGGGUGAAAUCCCGGGGCUCAACUCCGGAACUGCUCUUAAAACUGCUGAGCUAGAGAUAGUCAGAGGCGGGUGGAAUUCCAGGUGUAGAGGUGAAAUUCGUAGAUAUCUGGAGGAACACCGGUGGCGAAGGCGGCCCGCUGGGGCUAUUCUGACGCUAAGGUGCGAAAGCGUGGGGAGCAAACGGGAUUAGAUACCCGCGUAGUC